GUAGGGUGCGAGCGUUGUCCGGAAUUAUUGGGCGUAAAGGGCUCGUAGGCGGUUUGUCACGUCGGGAGUGAAAACUCGGGGCUUAACCCCGAGCCUGCUUCCGAUACGGGCUGACUAGAGGUAUGCAGGGGAGAACGGAAUUCCUGGUGUAGCGGUGAAAUGCGCAGAUAUCAGGAGGAACACCGGUGGCGAAGGCGGUUCUCUGGGCAUUACCUGACGCUGAGGAGCGAAAGUGUGGGGAGCGAACAGGAUUAGAUACCCUGGUAGUCCACACCGUAAACGUUGGGCGCUAGGUGUGGGACUCAUCCCACGAGUUCCGUGCCGCAGCUAACGCAUUAAGCGCCCCGCCUGGGGAGUACGGCCGCAAGGCUA
rnacentral:rRNA from 1 species